rnacentral:rRNA from 1 species
GAUGAACGCUGGCGGCGUGCCUAAUACAUGCAAGUCGAGCGAACAGACGAGGAGCUUGCUCCUCUGACGUUAGCGGCGGACGGGUGAGUAACACGUGGAUAACCUACCUAUAAGACUGGGAUAACUUCGGGAAACCGGAGCUAAUACCGGAUAAUAUAUUGAACCGCAUGGUUCAAUAGUGAAAGACGGUUUUGCUGUCACUUAUAGAUGGAUCCGCGCCGCAUUAGCUAGUUGGUAAGGUAACGGCUUACCAAGGCAACGAUGCGUAGCCGACCUGAGAGGGUGAUCGGCCACACUGGACCUGAGACCCGGUCCAGACUCCUACGGGAGGCAGCAGUAGGGAAUCUUCCGCAAUGGGCGAAAGCCUGACGGAGCAACGCCGCGUGAGUGAUGAAGGUCUUCGGAUCGUAAAACUCUGUUAUUAGGGAAGAACAAAUGUGUAAGUAACUAUGCACGUCUUGACGGUACCUAAUCAGAAAGCCACGGCUAACUACGU